rnacentral:sRNA from 1 species
UCACUUCUCCAUCGAAAGGCAGGCCAAA